rnacentral:tRNA from 1 species
GGUUCUGUGGUGUAAAGGGCAGGACUUUGAAUCCAGUGAUCUGAGUUCAAAUCUCAGUAGAACCA